rnacentral:lncRNA from 1 species
CCUGGCCCUGGCCGGCGGCGGCGCCGCGGGCACUCGCUGCGCUGGAAUGGCGGGACCUCGGCGGCUGCCUCUGCUGAUCAUGGCCCUGACCCUGCUCCCGAAACUCUCUGGGAAUGAAUAUUCUUCAGGCACUACAGUUGUUUCUUCAUCACAGUCGGUAACCGAGAGCUCAUCUGCCGCCCCUACGACCUCUUCUCCCUCCGACCCCAGCUCCUCCAAUACUGGGGACACCUCCACCCCCCAGCGCAGCACCCCAAGUCCCGGGGAAAUCACCACAGCCCAGCUCAGCGCCACCCCAACAGAUUCUGGGACGGCCUCCCCCUCCCUGCACCCCACGACAGACACGCACUCGGGCUCUGGGUCUCCCAGCCCAGAGCUCACUGCCGUGUCCGAGGCUGCGUCGCUGACUUCUUCCCCUCUGCGCCCCCAGGGGCACACCCUGACCCCCGCAUCACGCCGCAACCCGGGUGUGGUGGUGGCUGUGUGUCUGGUGGUGUCCCUGGUGCUCAUCGGGUCCGUGGUGCUGGCUGUGAGACGCUGCCACCGGGACACAUCUGAAUUCCUCGUGCUGGACGAGGUGUCCAUGGCCAGCGUGAGCCAACAGGAGUCCACUACCCCUGAGUGACCGCAGCGGGCCGGAGAGAGAACUUGGACAGCUGGGUGCCCGGGAGGCUGCAGCUGCCACUGCUCCGGCACAGUGGGGACGGCAGGCACCUGCAGUCCCAGCUGCUGUGCUUGGGAGGCUGAGCCAGGAGGACUGUUUGAGCCUAGGAGUUUGAGUCCAGCCUGGCCAACAAAGCAAGAGUCUAUCCAACAAUAAGAGAAUCAAUGAACAAAUAAAUAAAAUCCCAGAUGUUCACCUGAGGCAGCCUAUGUCAUGGAUUCACGCAAGGAGCAGUAACUGACCACCUACUAUAUGCCCAUUCUCUGUCACCAGCACAGUGGGGACUGCGUCUGUGUCCUUGUGGACAGCACAGUCAGGGGAGAGACAAGAUCCAGGGCUGCAGGGAGAGCUUCAGAUGCACUAGGGUCACGAGGCAGAGGUGAGGUUCCCCCAGCACCCCCACGUGUGUCCAAGUUUGCGGGGCCGCCGAGGAGGUCCCCAGGAGGCAACACUCAUGCAGGGACCUGAGAAGUGGGAGGGGACUGACAGGUGUUCCUGGAAGAGGAUGUGGUGUGUGCAAAGGUCCUGGGGUGGGAGCCAUGGUGGUGAUAGAGCAGCGCUGAGCAGAUGAAAGGGCUUUGGCAGUGGGAGUGCAGGUUUGAUCCCAAGGCCCGGACUCUGCGAGGGAGUUGCCUGCUGCCACUAUCUAUCGCAACUGGAGACUUUGGCAAGAUGGAUCUGGUCCAAGGAGCAGGAAGCCGUGGUUCCGGGGUGGAGGCAGAGCCCGUGUAAAGGUCAGGAGGCCGAGGAGCUGUCCCCUGCCGUCCGGGAUGGAGGGGACCCCUGCUGCCCAGGAGGGAGGUGGGGCUGGGUGAGGGACACGGAGGGGGCUUGGCUGUCACCUUGCACCCUGGAGCUGCCCACCCCUCUGCCCUCCCUGCCUCAGGCUCCAAGGAGCCGGGUCUCGCUCUGAUGAUCUCUUGGGGGCGGUGGCACUGUGGGUCAAACAUUAACCCAGCAGCUCGGCCACACCGGCCGGGCCCUUCUGCCCUGGCACCCGCGCCCCUGCCCAGCCUGGCCAGCUGUCCUG